CGCGUAGGCGGUUAUUUAAGUCAGGGGUGAAAACUCUGGGCUCAACUCAGAGCCUGCCUCUGAAACUGGAUGACUUGAGGGCAGGAGAGGGGAGUGGGAAUUCCCCAGUGUAGCGGUGAAAUGCGUAGAUAUUGGGAGGAACACCAGUGGCGAAGGCGACUCUCUGGCCUGUUACUGACGCUGAGGCGCGAAAGCGUGGGGAUCAAACA
rnacentral:rRNA from 1 species